CGCCCGCCGGGGGCUCGCGCCGGCCACGAGGGAGCGUCCGCGGCCCGCACGCCGGCGCCGCGGAGGAGAGGUGAUAAGUAUGAUGUUUCCGUAAUACCUUUGGAUAUUUUCAGCUAAGUUCGUUUCUGAACUAUGGGAUUUCGUCAAACGUUGCCUGAAAUUUGGACUCUGCACAUCCCCAGCCUCACGUAGUCAACAAUCUAUAAUGGAGCUACUAUACGCUGUCUAUUGGAAGGAGAUAUUCUGAAGACAGGAAGGUAAUAUUAUAUCUUUUAAAAAGAAAACUUUCCUCUGAAAUCCUGAGCCUUUAUUACAUAUAAGAACUUUCUCC
rnacentral:lncRNA from 1 species